rnacentral:rRNA from 1 species
UACGUAGGCAGCGAGCGUUGUUCGGAGUUACUGGGCGUAAAGGGUGUGUAGGCGGCCUAUUAAGUUUGGUGUGAAAUCUCCCGGCUCAACCGGGAGGGUGCGCCGAAAAACUGGGGAGGCUAGAGUGCGGGAUGGGAGAGUGGAAUUCCUGGUGUAGCGGUGGAAUGCGCAGAUAUCAGGAGGAACACCAAUAGCGAAGGCAGCUCGCUGGGACGUUACUGACACUGAGGCGCGAAAAGCGUGGGGAGCGAACAGGG